CGCACACACACGCGCGCGCGCACACACACACACACACACACACACACACACACACACACACACACACACACACACACACACACACACACACAAAUUGUAGGGUGCCCCUGCCCUGGUGGGGCGCUGCCCUCAUGCUGCUGCCCGCUGGCCUGCUGCUCGUCUUUGUGCUGCUGCUCCCAUUCUACCAAAUGCGCAUCGUCAACAUCUGCACCACGCUGGGUGCCAUCUUCUUUGGCAGCGCGCUGUACUACUUCCUCCAGGUGGGUGCGAAGUCGACCUCUACUGGCCGUGGGGAUCAUCCCCUGUCCCUACCCAGUUGACCGAACUGCAGCAUUGGACUGCAGCAGCGGAGGCAUGCAAGCCAUGCUGUGAGGCUGAGCCUGGCUUCUCAAGGUAGAAGAAGCACACCUGGCUGCCGAGGCGUGUAAGCCAUGCUGUGAGCCUGGUUUUGCAAGGCAGAAGAUGCACGGUUGGCUGCCAACACACACACCAUGCUGUGAGCCUGACUUUCCAAGGUACAAGAUGCACACCUGGCUGCCGAGGCUUGCAAACAGCCAUGCUGUGAGGUUGAGCCUGGCUUUUUAAAGGCAGACAAAGCAUAACUGGCUGCCGAGGCUUGCAAGCCAUGCUGUGAGACUGGGCCUGACUUUUUUAAGGCAGAAGAAGCACUGGUGGCUGCCGACAUACACACAGCAGCGGAGCCAUGCUGUGAGCCUGUCUUUUCAAGGCAGGAGAUGCACACCAGGCUGUUGAGGCUUGCCAGCCAUGCCGUGAGGCGGGGCUUGGCUUGUUAAAGGCAGGCGAAGCACACCCUGCCAUACCGCCAAGGCAAAGCUUGCAAGGCAUUCAGAAAACCCUCUCUUGGCCCCCCCACAGCUGAGGGAGGUGCGAAAAGCUUGCGAGGCACUCAGGAAACUCAGCUGUUUAUGCAAUGUUUUUCCACACACCUUUGCACUGCCACGCCAUCAAGGCAAAGCGCGCAAGCUAUUUCACCGUCCAUGCACAUUGAACCCACAGGCCAGUCCAAAGCGCGCCUCUGUGCUAGAGUGCAGUGUAGGAGGAUUGCCGACUCACAGUCAUGUGCCAGGCACGCUGCCCCUUCGCUGCUAGGGUGCGAGAUGCAACAGUAUAUAUGAAUGCAGUGAAAAAUCAGUGUGCAGGUCAAGAGCGCUAAUUUUUCAUCUCUGCAUCAGGUGGUGACUUGGAGCUCCAGGGAUCCGCUUGUGCAGAUGUGCUAUCCAGAAUCACUGGGCUAGAGCCUGCAAACCAAGGGCAUUGAAUCACCCUGCACGUGUAUCCUUGCAGGCUUUCCAUGCUAUGGUUACCUCUUCCUAGAGCAAAGGCUGCCCUAGGAAGAGCGGCCUAGCGCCGGCUGAGAGAGUUGUCACUCUGCACUGGGAUUUGUGGAAGACACACAUCACUCAUAAAUUGAGACUGUGGUCCGGCUGCCAGGAGCUACACAAAAAGAUGUCCAAAGAAGAGACUGUGUUCUUGUCCACGGCAUCCAUCCAUGGAUUCACUGCAUUGUACCCCUGUUUGGCUGUCACAAAAACCAUUUUGAAAAGGCUGGACCUGCUUGCGCGGUAUUGAGCAAUUUCCUCUUGAAAAUCAUGCUACUUUGGGGGGGCCAUACAUAUGUUAUCAUUGGCUGUGCUGUGUUACCUUGCGCUAGCUGCCAUGGUCGGAUCCCUCUCUUGCCAGGCUGGACCACCUCCAUUACCUCAGGCUCCAUGAGCUGCAUGGGUGCCAUGCUCUGCUGCUUGAUGGCAUGAGUUCUUCUGGGGGCCGAUGCAGCUCUCGAGUGCUUCUCUAUUCCUCCUCUCUCAGCCAUCAGUUGAGCACCUUGCUAUUGCCCUUAAGCACUUCCUCUUGGCCAUCAGUCGAGCGCCUGGCUUUUGCCCUCGAGAAGCACUGCGCCUUUGCCCUUAAGUUGUGCUUUCUUCACCUGCCCUUGAGUUGUGCUGUCUUCACCAUCAAUCGAGCCCCUCGCUGCCUUGCCCUUGAGUACUUACCUCUUGGCCAUCAGUCCAGCACCUCGCUGUUGCCCUUGAGCACUGCGUCCUUAUCCUUGAGCUCUGUGCCCCUAAACUGGAGAACCUCACUCUCGGCCAUGGCAGCCUUGGCCUUGGUAGUUCCUCAGGAGUGGCUGCCUCAUUCAUCUACAUGUGCUUUUUGAGCAAGGCAGGCUGCUUAUGCUUUGCUGCUUAUGCUUUGAGAACAGAGCGCUGUUCAUUCCAUUAUCACGGCAAAGGGGGCAAAGGGGGUGGGGAUGAUGGGGCAUAGAAUGGAACCCAUUCUUGUAAACUCGAGAUCACACUUAGAAGGGUUCUAACUCAGUGCUCUACAUGGGAUGCUAAAACCUUGGUAUCUUUGCGUAUUUUGGACAUAAUUUCUUAUGUGUUUUUUUGUGAUUCUUUGCAUGCAUGUAUGUAUGUAUGUAUGUAUGUAUGUAUGUAUGUGUGUGUAUGUAUGUAUGUAUGUAUGUGUGUGUAUGUAUGUAUGUGUGUGUGUGUGUGUGUAUGUAUGUAUGUAUGUAUGUAUGUGUGUGUAUGUAUGUAUGUAUGUAUGUAUGUGUGUGUAUGUAUGUAUGUAUGUAUGUAUGUAUGUAUGUGUGUGUAUGUAUGUAGGUAUGUAGGUAUGUAGGUAUGUAGGUAUGUGUGCAUGUAUGUAGGUAUGUAGGUAUGCAGGUAUGUAUGUAUGUAUGUAUGUAUGUAUGUAUGUAUGUAUGUAUGAAUGAAUGUGCAUGUGUGUGUAUGUAUGUAGGUAUGUAUGUAUGUAUUUAUUUGUGUGUAUGUAUGUAUCUGUGCAUGUAUGUAUGUAUGUAUGUAUGUAUGUAUGUAUGUAUGUGUGUAUGUGUGUAUGUGUGUAUGUAUGUAUGUAUGUGUGUAUGCCAGCAUGCAGUAUAUACUGACACACUUUUCCUUGCACAUGAAUCUUCCGUGCUGCAGGUGGCACGACGCCGCAACUGGUGUGCGUUCAACCCGCUGCACUUUGAUGUUGAGGGCGUCUGGGGCCCACGCGUCAGCUGUUCACCUGCAUGGUGUGUGUGUAUGUUUGUGCAUGUGUGUGUGUAUGUGUGUGUGUGUGUGUGUGUGUGUGUGUGUGUGUGUGUGUGUGUGUGUGUGUGUGUGUGUGUGUGUGUGUGUGUGUGUGUG
rnacentral:lncRNA from 1 species